rnacentral:rRNA from 1 species
CCUACGGGUGGCUGCAGUGAGGAAUAUUGGUCAAUGGGCGGAAGCCUGAACCAGCCAAGUAGCGUGCAGGAUGACGGCCCUACGGGUUGUAAACUGCUUUUAUAAAGGAAUAAAGUGAGGCACGUGUGCCUUUUUGUAUGUACUUUAUGAAUAAGGAUCGGCUAACUCCGUGCCAGCAGCCGCGGUAAUACGGAGGCUCCGAGCGUUAUCCGGAUUUAUUGGGUUUAAAGGGAGCGUAGAUGGGUUGUUAAGUCAGUUGUGAAAGUUUGCGGCUCAACCGUAAAAUUGCAAUUGAUACUGGCAGCCUUGAGUACAGUUGAGGUAGGUGGAAUUCGUGGUGUAGCGGUGAAAUGCUUAGAUAUCACGAAGAACUCCGAUUGCGAAGGCAGCUUACUAAACUGCCACUGACAUUGAUGCUCGAAAGUGUGGGUAUCAAACAGGAUUAGAUACCCCUGUAGUC